UUGGGAACUUUGGCCAGAGGUUGAAGUUGACCAUUGCUCUUUUUAAAACAGGGUUUCUCCCUGAACAUGGUGCUCACCGUCCUAGUUAGACUGGCUGAGCAAUGAGACCGGUCUCUGCCCGUCAACACUGGUGUUGCAGGUGCCGACAGCCAUGCUGUCUGUCCGUUUUAUAUGAGUCCUGGGAUUUGUAUGUGUGUGUUGUUUGCUGUUGUUACUUCUUCCAGCUUCCGGUGUAGACUGAAACCAGCAUUUCUCCAGGGAUCUUCCAGGUCUUGGGGGCUGGAUUGGGACUGCUGGGAUAUCCAGCCUCGUGUCCAGCCUCACUGAGCAACUACUAGAUCCUGAGCCCCUGCAGUGUGAGGAAGCUCUUAUUGGACUACCCGGACCGCAUCCUAGCAGACGAUGAUGACGACAAUGACAACAAUGACGAUAGUAGUGAUGUAACUUUUAGAGUCCCUGGAUGGUAUCAAGAGAUUUGUAGGCCCAAUGUCCAGCAAAACAGCCACAACUGCUGGAAAAGGGAAUUGUUGGAAAGGGGAGAGCAGUCAUCAGGCCGUUGGUGGAGCCCCACAGCCGGACUGUGGUUGAAUAGCGAGGGACAGCUGCACAGGGUCGGAGGAGGAGGCCGAGAGCUCUGCUGAAGCCACCGCCAUCCCUGGGUAGCUGCACGUGCCAGAGGAUUUCCACAGUGGACUUGGAGCAAGGAUAUGAUUUCAUUAAGACCAGAGCCAAGUCAGUGAACAGAGACAUAGUCUAUUGCAAAGCCUUUGCAGCAUACAGAACAGAAAACAACAGCAGAAGUAAUAAUGGAGAAAAAGAAGAGAAUCUCUGAGAAACAUGGGCCAACACUGUGUUACAUGAACUCAAGCACAACAGGAAUACCAGAAGGGGAGGAAGCAACACUGUACGUGAACCCACACACAACAGGAAUACCAGAAGGGGAGGAAGCAAUACUGCGUACGUGAACCCAUAUACAACAGGAAUACCAGAAGGGGGGAAGCAACAUACACAGGAAAACAUGUCCAAAGAAAUGCGGCUGGAAAUAUACUGCAUCUGAUGAAGAUCAGUCUAGAUGACUCAAAACCUCAAUACAUCAUAAGAAUAAAACCAAGAGCCCAACAAACAGAUACAUCAUGUUUAAAUGUUUAAAUAAAAGAUAAGAAAAGGGCCACAAAAUGAAGGGGCUUUGCCACCAAGCCUGACAGCGUGAGUUCACCCCUGGUCACCACGGGGUAGAAGGAGAGAACUGACGCCCACCGUUGUCCUUUGAGUAGAAUAAAUCUUUUUUUUAGAAGGAAAUAAAUAGAGAAACAAUUUUAGAGACAUCAAAAACAGUUGAUACUAUAGGUAAAUCAAUAAAGCCCCCCCCAAAAAAAAGGCUGAUCAGUAAAAAUUAUGAACUGCUUGGAGCUAACAGACCUAGCAUUAGCAGGGCUACGUUCUGUUUGGAGUGGAUAAGAAAGAAUGAGGGAUCAGGGAUCAGCGAGCUGAGUAGGCACCUUGGACCACAGAGGAUGCAGAGGAAACUCUCUGUGUUGAUGGACAGGCUCCUAGAGAAAUGAUGGUACUGGAAGCCUAUUUUGACCUAUGGUGGGUUAAUUGUGUGUGAGGAUGGUUAAAUAAACUUCAGCUGGUGUAGGAGA